GAUGAACGCUGGCGGCGUGCCUAAUACAUGCAAGUCGAGCGAACAGACGAGGAGCUUGCUCCUCUGACGUUAGCGGCGGACGGGUGAGUAACACGUGGAUAACCUACUUAUAAGACUGGGAUAACUUCGGGAAACCGGAGCUAAUACUGGAUAAUAUAUUGAACCGCAUGGUUCAAUAGAGAAUGACGGCUUUGCUGUCACUUAUAGAUGGUUCCGCGCCGCAUUAGCUAGUUGGUAAGGUAACGGCUUACCAAGGCGACGAUGCGUAGCCGACCUGAGAGGGUGAUCGGCCACACUGGAACUGAGACACGGUCCAGACUCCUACGGGAGGCAGCAGUAGGGAAUCUUCCGCAAUGGGCGAAAGCCUGACGGAGCAACGCCGCGUGAGUGAUGAAGGUCUUCGGGUCGUAAAACUCUGUUAUUAGGGAAGAACAGAUGUGUAAGUAACUAUGCACGUCUUGACGGUACCUAAUCAGAAAGCCACGGCUAACUACGUG
rnacentral:rRNA from 1 species